rnacentral:rRNA from 1 species
AGAGUUUGAUCCUGGCUCAGAUUGAACGCUGGCGGCAUGCCUUACACAUGCAAGUCGAACGGCAGCACGGGAGCAAUCCUGGUGGCGAGUGGCGAACGGGUGAGUAAUAUAUCGGAACGUGCCCAGUCGUGGGGGAUAACGUAGCGAAAGCUACGCUAAUACCGCAUACGAUCUACGGAUGAAAGCGGGGGACUCGUAAGGGCCUCGCGCGAUUGGAGCGGCCGAUAUCAGAUUAGGUUGUUGGUGAGGUAAAAGCUCACCAAGCCUGCGAUCUGUAGCUGGUCUGAGAGGACGACCAGCCACACUGGAACUGAGACACGGUCCAGACUCCUACGGGAGGCAGCAGUGGGGAAUUUUGGACAAUGGACGCAAGUCUGAUCCAGCAAUGCCGCGUGCAGGACGAAGGCCUUCGGGUUGUAAACUGCUUUUGUACGGAACGAAACGGUCUGCUUUAAUACAGUGGGCUAAUGACGGUACCGUAAGAUAGACC